rnacentral:misc_RNA from 1 species
GAUGAAGAACGCAGCGAAAUGCGAUAAGUAGUGUGAAUUGCAGAAUUCAGUGAAUCAUCGAAUCUUUGAACGCACAUUGCGCCCCUUGGUAUUCCAUGGGGCAUGCCUGUUCGAGCGUCAUUUGUACCUUCAAGCUUUGCUUGGUGUUGGGUGUUUGUCUCGCCUCUGCGUGUAGACUCGCCUUAAAACAAUUGGCAGCCGGCGUAUUGAUUUCGGAGCGCAGUACAUCUCGCGCUUUGCACUCAUAACGACGACGUCCAAAAGUACAUUUUUACACUCUUGACCUCGGAUCUGGUAGGGAUACCCGCUGAACUUAAGCAUAUCAAUAAGCGGAGGA